rnacentral:lncRNA from 1 species
AGCUGGGCAUGGUGGCAGGUGCCUGUAAUCUCAGCUACUCGAGAGGCUGAGGCAGGAGAAUUGCUUGAACCCAGGAAGUGGAGAGUGCAGUGAGCCAAGAUUGCACCAUUGCACUCCAGCCUGGGUGAUAGAGCGAGACUCUGUCUCAAAAAAAAAAAAAAAAAAAGAAAAAAAAAGUAUACACUGAUAAGAAUUCUUCAAAUUGAAGAUUAUGUUCUUAUGUCUACCCAGUCUUUCCUUUUUCCUUUCCUUCGGACUCCAACUAGAACAGCAAGGAGCAGAGACAAAGACAAACUAGUCCUUAAAAUGCUGUUAUGGAGACAAAAUGACACCAAACAAGUCCACUCUGUGAAUUGGUUAUGCUGUAAAUUAAUCUUUGUCUAAAUGGCCUUUGACAAACCGACUGACUCCUAGCUGACCUCCUUAGACAUACCCAGUAUCCCAAGUGAAGCUGUUUCAUCGUUUUUUGUUUGUUUGUUUUAAAGACAGGAGGUCUUUCUGUGUUGCCCAGGAUGGACUCCAAUUUCCUGGCUCAAGCGAUCCUCCUGCCUCCGCCUCCCAAGUAGCUGGGACUACAGGUGCUUGCCUGGCUUGCUUCACCAUUUUCAGUAAGAACGAUCAUGAUGCUGCUCACUGAAGUCAGCAGACUUCCUUUGUGGGGUUAAUGACUGCAGUGUGUUUUGAGGAAAAACAAAACAAAACAAAAAAAAACUACUCCAAUAUUUUGAGGAAAUACUUCUUUAAAUACUGGCCUCUGCCCUGACACUCCUUGCCUCCUAAUAUUGGCACCACCUCUGUUUCCUUACAAUAGAGUCUCAGAACAUGGGAUCAAUCUUAGACCCAAAGGAGGAUGCUUCUCAGAAACACUCUCUGUCCUGCCGUACGUCUGUCUAAAUACUCGGCAUCUUUGUGGGAGCUGAGGACCUUGAAGAAGAGAUUGCUCAGAGACCUCUUACCAGGGUGAGGCCAGCUUCCCGUAUUUGGGGAUCCCACAUGCUAACCAGCAAUGCAGAAAUCCCAAAUCCUGUUCUCACUUUUCAGUAGUCCUACCUGUUUGACACUGAGGAAGCAGAUACUUGGAUGAGAUCUGAAUUGGGUCUUGUACAUUGCCUACAGGCCAAAGGCAAUGUGUUGAAGAGAUAAUCUUGAAAGAGUAAUGGGAAAGGAGACCUCAGAAACUGAUCUCAUGAGGCAGAACAACCCUUGCUCUAAUUUCAUAGUCACAGGGUACCUGCUGAUUUCCAAAAGAUGUUACUGUUAUGUUUGUCUUCUUAAGAGAUGGUGUCUCGCUCUGUCGCCUAAGCUGGAGUGCAAUGGCACAAUCGUGGUUCACUGCAGCCCCAAACUUCCAGGCUCAAGCAGUCCUCCAUCCUCAGCCUCCUGAGUAGCUAGGAGUACAGGCACACAACACUAUGACUAACUAAUUUUUAAUUUUUUGUAGAGACAGGGGUCUCCCUGUGCUGCCCGGGCUGGUCUCCAACUCCUGCACUCAAGCAAUCCACCUGCGUCAGCCUCCCAAAGUGCUGGGAUUACAGGUGUGAGCCACCAUGCCCAGCCAAUUGUGUUUGUCUUAAUCAGCAUGUCCUACACCACUUCCAUGCCAGGCCACCAGGGAAAGAGACUGCAGAUGUUUUUUCUUUGUGAAAAUUACCAAACUUAAAGAUCUUAACUGCAAAUUUAUUUCAUUGAUUU